AUAAAAUGGGCAAUCUGGAAGAAAUGGACAAAUUCCUAGAAACAUAUACAUGACCAAAACUGAAACAGGUAAAGGAGACAGAUGCACAAACCAAAAACUAUCUGCAAAAGGCACUAUGAGGGAGCGUUAUAAAGAAGGUGACCGUAACUCCAGAGAGGGAGUGGCUUGGAAGUUACAGAGAACAGGCGACAUCGGAGGUGGGACCGGAAGGAUGAUUCAGAGUUUGCCAGGUCAUCAAGGUGCAGAAGAGAGGACAUUAAAGUGAUGUGCAAAUGCAUGGAAUGACGCAUCCCUAAAUAGCAGAGUGUACAUUUCAAAAUCAUUUCAAAAUCACCAUCCCAAUUGAUACUCUCAAAUCCCACAAUGGGGUUACCUGUCCUGCCACACACACACACACACACACACACACACACACACACGCAUGCAAGCAAGUAAGAAAAGUAAGGGCCAGUGAAGACAAAUGAUGAGCCCAAGGGGGAACAGUGACUGAUUUCUCGGGAGAGGGUAGGAGUGAGGGAGGGACACUGGCAGAGAUGGCUCUCUUGUCUUGAAGGGGGCGGUAUUAUUCUCAUAGGUCAGUGAUCCCUCAUUUCCUGCCCCUGCUGGUCUGUGAUGCCCUCCUCCCAUCCCCGACAUACAUGCAUCCUCCUCCGGGCCCCAGGGCCUUUCAGAAGGGCGGCCAGCAGAGGGACAGAGCAGCCUUCCAAGGAGGCCAAGAAAGGUCUGAACUUUCAUGAGGCCCAGCUUGGAGGCCGUGCCCUACCCUCCCCCACUCCCCCAGGGCACUGAUAACCCCGACCUCUCCCACUGCAAAUCUCCUCUCCUGGUCUGUCCUCUCCCCUUCUCUCCCAGCUGCAGCUGCCGCCAGCCUCUCCCUCUCCUCCCUCCACCCCUCGCCAUCCCCAGGGAGCAGUGAGCUCAGCCUUUCCCAUCAGCCAUCCCUGGGAAUGAUGGGAAAUGCGAGGCAGGCCAGGAACCAGCAGAGGCCUGCCCCAGAGAGGGAGGAGGAGAACACGGGCCUUUCUGAGGGCCACUGGGGGCGUCUUGGGGGCAGGGCUCCAUUCUGCUGCUUGCGAUGAAGCCCAGGCUGCGGUAAGAGCACAGUCUGCCUGUCCUUACCACUGGCUCUAAAUAAGGUGGGAUCCAACUGCUGGAGCUGGGAUGGGCCUCUUUUUCUGGAUGGGGAGACAGAGGUACACAGAGAGGAGGGAAAGGAAGUAUAUCUGGGAGCUGACUGCCACAUCCCAGGCACUGUUGGAGCCUUUCACGUCCUUUGUCUCAUUGGAUCCCUACCACUACCCUGCAAGUUAAAGAAAGGUCUCCUCUAAGGGAUCACGCCUGGGCUAGAGGGGUUCCUGAUCAAAACCUGAGCUCUCCACUUCCACACUGACGGAGGCAAGAGGAGCCACUGGGUGCCGAGCACUCUUCCUGCAGGCGACGCUGUGCUGGGCUUCUGUGCAAUGACUUCUACCUCUGCGCAGCCACCUGAGGGGACCGGGAGACCCAUCCUGCUGAAGGGGAAGCUGAGGUACUAAGUUAUUGGGCGACUGUUUAUGCAGCAAAAGACAAAUGCAACAACUCAUUGAAAUUUACCUGGCAGGAACCUCCCCUCCCCCAAGAAGCUGCACCUUAGCAACAAGAAAGGUGCUCAGAGUACAGCAGGCAGCUGCUGAGCCUCGGACAUUUGCAACUUCCAGGAUUCUACCUUUGGAGAGCCAUGGGAGAGCUUCAAAGCUAAUCAUCUCAGCAUUAUUUACAAUAGCAAAAAAAAAGCUAGAAGUCACAUCAAUGCCGAAUAAGGAGAAGAUUCAAUAAACUGUGGAUCAUUUGCAAUGAGGAACUCUUAUGUGUCAUUAAUAAAUACGGAUUUAUUAAUGGUGGGUUAAUGGCAUGGGAAAUGCUGGAGGCAAAAAAAAAAAAA